rnacentral:rRNA from 1 species
UGGGGAAUAUUGGACAAUGGGCGCAAGCCUGAUCCAGCCAUGCCGCGUGAGUGACGAAGGCCUUAGGGUUGUAAAGCUCUUUUGGCGGGGAAGAUAAUGACGGUACCUGCAGAAUAAGCACCGGCUAACUACGUGCCAGCAGCCGCGGUAAUACGUAGGGUGCAAGCGUUAAUCGGAAUUACUGGGCGUAAAGCGUGCGCAGGCGGUUCGGAAAGAAAGAUGUGAAAUCCCAGAGCUUAACUUUGGAACUGCAUUUUUAACUACCGGGCUAGAGUGUGUCAGAGGGAGGUGGAAUUCCGCGUGUAGCAGUGAAAUGCGUAGAUAUGCGGAGGAACACCGAUGGCGAAGGCAGCCUCCUGGGAUAACACUGACGCUCAUGCACGAAAGCGUGGGGAGCAAACA